rnacentral:rRNA from 1 species
CCUACGGGAGGCUGCAGUGGGGAAUAUUGGACAAUGGGGGGAACCCUGAUCCAGCCAUGCCGCGUGUGUGAAGAAGGCCCUCGGGUUGUAAAGCACUUUCAGUGAGGAAGAACGCCUGAUGGUUAAUACCCAUCAGGAAAGACAUCACUCACAGAAGAAGCACCGGCUAACUCCGUGCCAGCAGCCGCGGUAAUACGGAGGGUGCGAGCGUUAAUCGGAAUUACUGGGCGUAAAGCGCGCGUAGGUGGCUUGAUAAGCCGGUUGUGAAAGCCCCGGGCUCAACCUGGGAACGGCAUCCGGAACUGUCAAGCUAGAGUGCAGGAGAGGAAGGUAGAAUUCCCGGUGUAGCGGUGAAAUGCGUAGAGAUCGGGAGGAAUACCAGUGGCGAAGGCGGCCUUCUGGACUGACACUGACACUGAGGUGCGAAAGCGUGGGUAGCAAACAGGAUUAGAUACCCUGGUAGUC